rnacentral:lncRNA from 1 species
AGGGCAAAUCAUUUCAAAACGACAUCAUAGAAUAAGAGUCAAGCUCAUUUACAAAAUACUUGUCCAACGCACACCUCUACAUACAUAGAUAGGACGGGGGCCAUGACAUAUUACCGGCUCCCCUCAUAGUCAAAAUACAAUUACAAGCUAAAGUCUCAAAACAUAGGAGUAGGAAACAUAACAUAGCCCUCGAAUCAUUGAGGACUCACCAAC